GAUGAACGCUGGCGGCGUGCCUAAUACAUGCAAGUCGAGCGAACGGACGAGAAGCUUGCUUCUCUGAUGUUAGCGGCGGACGGGUGAGUAACACGUGGAUAACCUACCUAUAAGACUGGGAUAACUUCGGGAAACCGUAGCUAAUACCGGAUAAUAUUUUGAACCGCAUGGUUCAAAAGUGAAAGACGGUCUUGCUGUCACUUAUAGAUGGAUCCGCGCUGCAUUAGCUAGUUGGUAAGGUAACGGCUUACCAAGGCAACGAUGCAUAGCCGACCUGAGAGGGUGAUCGGCCACACUGGAACUGAGACACGGUCCAGACUCCUACGGGAGGCAGCAGUAGGGAAUCUUCCGCAAUGGGCGAAAGCCUGACGGAGCAACGCCGCGUGAGUGAUGAAGGUCUUCGGAUCGUACAACUCUGUUAUUAGGGAAGAACAUAUGUGUAAGUAACUGUGCACAUCUUGACGGUACCUAAUCAGAAAGCCACGGCUAACUACGUG
rnacentral:rRNA from 1 species